rnacentral:ncRNA from 2 species
AAUUGAAUAGGAGAAAAAGGUGCCAAUGAUGUUUUAUUUUGAGUGAAAGCAUCCAUUGGUUAAAAGGGAAGAGGGUGAAAAUCCCACACGGUCCCGCCACUGUGAAAGAGGAGUCCUUGCAAGCAUGCCACUGAGAAGCGGUGGAAAGCUGUAAGGGUGAUGAUUCUAAGUCAGAAUACCUGCCUGUUUCUCAUACACCGU